AUAAUCUGACUUGGAAAACUUAAAUAAUCUGACUAGGAAAAGAAAACAAAAAAUAAAAAGAUUAAGAAAACAAAACUAAUGAUUAGAUGAAAUUCAGAACAUAAGCAGAUUUAGGGGUUUUGUAGAAAGAAGAAUAUUACUCUCACACACCGGAGGCGGAGACGGAGGCAAACGGCAGAGGGCGGAGGCGGAGGCAGAGGGCAGAGGGCAGAGGCGGAGGCAGAGACGCUCACUUUCUUCUCCCCGCCGUCGCACAUCUCUGCCCUCUUGACGUCGUUUAGCAGUGAAAAUGUGCAUUACUGUAAUGGGUUUCGAUUAAUUUCAACAAUUAUUGUCCUAUGCACCGACUAGAUACUGCAGGUGCGUGCAAACUGUUACGCUCUGAAUUCCGGGCGGUUUCUUUUGCUUGUGGUUGUGGACUGGAUCUCCAAUUGUCAAAAUUUUGGUUUCACAGUGUCAUGAUCUCUUAAAGCAUGGAAGCUCAAAUUUUGGCUUUGGAAGGCAAUGUUGCUACUAUUAGCACCAAUUCAAGUGGGGUUUUGUUCAAGAUGUACUUCCUCUAGUGGAUAUCAUAAAGCAUAGAUGUUGGAAAUUGGAAUGCAAUGCAGACAAAACUGCUAUUUGCAAUCAUUUGAUGUAUUUGUUUAUUUUGGGUGUUGAUGUAUAUUUUGGUCACCUAUUGUGUUGUAUACUUACCGUUUCUUUGUAACAAGAGUCUAUAUUAGUCAUAGAAUUAGUCUAUUAGAUUUUUUUUGUUAAUUAGUUGUUAUAAUAUUAAGUGGAUAUUGUAAAACCAGU